AUCUGAAGUACCAGCAUCCGAGUUCGUAUUGCAAUCCGGGGGCACUGGCAGCGGUGCUGCCGCCGAUUGGUCAGAAGGCUCAGUCGAAGAGCAAGCUGAGCCUUAUUGUAGGUAUUGCUGCUGCGGUCGUGGGUGGCGCGGCGGUGUUGGGGAUAUUGUUGCUUCUCGUUUUCAAGAGAGGGAAAGCAGAGGCCGACAGAGUUGCUCAGUCACAGAAGUCUGCAGUAAGCAAAGCUCCGAGCCCGGUUUAUCCG
rnacentral:misc_RNA from 1 species